rnacentral:rRNA from 1 species
UACGUAGGGUCCGAGCGUUGUCCGGAAUUAUUGGGCGUAAAGAGCUCGUAGGCGGUCUGUCGCGUCGGCUGUGAAAACACGGGGCUCAACUCCGUGCCUGCAGUCGAUACGGGCAGACUAGAGUUCGGUAGGGGGAGACUGGAAUUCCUGGUGUAGCGGUGAAAUGCGCAGAUAUCAGGAGGAACACCGGUGGCGAAGGCGGGUCUCUGGGCCGAAACUGACGCUGAGGAGCGAAAGCGUGGGGAGCAAACAGG